rnacentral:rRNA from 1 species
CAGUCGCCACGGGAAUACAGAGGGUGCGAGCGUUAAUCGGAUUUACUGGGCGUAAAGCGUGCGUAGGCGGCUUUUUAAGUCGGAUGUGAAAUCCCUGAGCUUAACUUAGGAAUUGCAUUCGAUACUGGGAAGCUAGAGUAUGGGAGAGGAUGGUAGAAUUCCAGGUGUAGCGGUGAAAUGCGUAGAGAUCUGGAGGAAUACCGAUGGCGAAGGCAGCCAUCUGGCCUAAUACUGACGCUGAGGUACGAAAGCAUGGGGAGCAAACAGGAUUAGAUACCCCGGUAGUCCCUGUCCUUAUACA